rnacentral:rRNA from 1 species
AUGGCAACCUCCAUCGCGCAGUACGAGUGCCACCUCAGGCUCCAGCGCCACAAGAUCGUCAGGAUUGAUCUCGAGUACAAAAACGAGCCUAAAGCCACGCAGAAACCCGCCCUCGUCCAACUCUCUGUCGGCAAGACUCAGCCGGUGGUCCUCUUCCAACUGAGCGCCGCUGAAAGGUGCAUCGUCUUUGACAACUUCCUCACCGACCCCAGGUACACCUUUGGUGGCUUCUCCAUCAACGGCGACAAAACCAGGCUAGACCGCGUCAAUCUGGAGGUCGCCAACUUCGUCGACAUCCAGAAGGAGUGGAGGGUGCCUGAGGCCACCAAGGAGGUUGACUCCCUUGGAGACGUCUCCGACAUGCUCAUCGACAACUACUACAACAACAUGAAGAAGAAGAUCAUGGACGAAGAACACAUGCACUGGGCCGACCUACCUCUAUCCAUGAGGCACACUGAGUACGCCACAAAGGACGCCUAUGCAGCGUUCGAGAUAUGGAACCGCAUCACCCUCACCCAGGAUGGGCUUCACCACGCAAAGCUGGAGAAGGAGGAGCCCCCCAAGAAGCACGCCAGGAGCAGUUGGGGAGAAUAUGCCUGGUGA